rnacentral:misc_RNA from 1 species
UGCACAUGUUGGAUCAUGCUCACAUGUACGGCAACGGUAUGCAAUAUCAUUGUUCCCCCAAAUAGCCCCACAAACACCACGCUGGCCAAUGUUAGCUAGGUGAUCUAGUGCUCUUCUUGGUUCCCCUUCAAACAUCAACCAUUGUAACCACGUCAUACUUUCGUGAAAUAAAUCUUUAAUGGCUGAGCUGCCUGUUGAUUUUGGAGAAUCCGUCUGCAUAUCUGUAAUACUGUCCAUUGCCUCUUCAUUAGUAGGCAAAAGAGCAGAGACAAGCUCUUCAAUUUGAGACUUGUUAUUCUUCACAUAAACAAUUAAACCAGGCUGUCGGUGCUCUAAAUUUUCUGCAGGAACUCCAAGAUUCUCAAGCCUCUUAAGAAUAAAUUCCUGCGGACUUGUCAUCUUCGUCUCCGGCGCCGGCGCAGAAUCAACCUCCAUUAGAAAAAUGAACCGAAUCCAAUCGGCG